rnacentral:lncRNA from 1 species
UUGUUUCUUUUGGGCAAUUCAUUUGUGUAAACCUAAUUGUCAUCAAAGUUCAAGUCAUUGCAUUUCGGGCAGGCAGUUUCUCAAACAAUAACCAAAGGGAGAGGCUAAUUAUUUGCUUAAAUCAAUUACAACAUGUAAAAAUAUUUGUGCUAUGAUCAAAUACAGUGUAGAGCUACUAACUUUCCCUUACAUAGAUCCACAUCGUGACUAAUAUUGAGAACAACGGGGGGGAAGGUCGGGGGAGGAGUCGCGCAGGAGGAGAGAGAGAGAGAGAGGAGAGGAGAGUGUUGUGCGGAAGCGUCAACCAACUGCGAGUGAAAAAUAAAUAACAACAGGCAGGAGAAAAAUUGAACAAAAUAAUCAACAAUAACAACACCAAGAUUUAUACUGGUUCGGCAAUUGCCUACAUCCAGUUUGGAGACGAUGGAGUAUUCCACUAUAAUCAAUGGAGAUAUACAAUAGUGUUUACCACUCCAUUUCCCAAAGACCCAAAUACACCCAACCUCACACACUCACAAAGGAAGAGAAAACAAUGAUACAAAGCAAAGAACAACUAGAGAGAAUUUGUUUCACUCUUUGGCAAAAUGCCUUUCUUGCUAUUUUUCUCUUCUACUCAACUCUUGGUUGGAU